rnacentral:rRNA from 1 species
ACUCAAAUGAAUAGACGGGGGCCCGCACAAGCGGUGGAGCAUGUGGUUUAAUUCGAAGCUACGCGAAGAACCUUACCAGGUCUUGACAUCCCUCUGACCGGUAUAGAGAUAUACCUUUUCCUUCGGGAACAGAGGUGACAGGUGGUGCAUGGCUGUCGUCAGCUCGUGUCGUGAGAUGUUGGGUUAAGUCCCGUAACGAGCGCAACCCUUGAUAUUAGUUGCCAGCAUUAAGUUGGGCACUCUAAUGUGACUGCCGGUGACAAACCGGAGGAAGGUGGGGAUGACGUCAAGUCAUCAUGCCCCUUAUGACCUGGGCCACACACGUGCUACAAUGGAUGGAACAACGGGCAGCGAAGCAGCGAUGUGAAGCUAAUCCCACAAAACCAUUCUCAGUUCGGAUUGUAGGCUGCAAUUCGCCUACAUGAAGCAGGAAUCGCUAGUAAUCGCGGAUCAGAAUGCCGCGGUGAAUACGUUCCCGGGCCUUGUACACACCGCCCGU